rnacentral:rRNA from 1 species
UACGUAUGGGGCAAGCGUUAUCCGGAUUUACUGGGUGUAAAGGGAGCGUAGGCGGCGGGGCAAGCCUGAUGUGAAAGCCCGGGGCUCAACCCCGGGACUGCAUUGGGAACUGCCCUGCUGGAGUGUCGGAGGGGCAGGCGGAAUUCCUAGUGUAGCGGUGAAAUGCGUAGAUAUUAGGAGGAACACCAGUGGCGAAGGCGGCCUGCUGGACGGUGACUGACGCUGAGGCUCGAAAGCGUGGGGAGCAAACAGG